rnacentral:lncRNA from 1 species
AAGCUCCUCCUCCUUUCUUCGUUUAGGAUAUGUCUAGGCCGAAACAGAAUAAAAACGUGUUCUUCUUUCAAAUUUUUGGGCAAAUAGACAAAAAUUUGACGUUUAUCCCUAGAUCAUAUAUAUAGAAAUACAUUUUUAAGAUAUUUGUAUACUGUGUUUGUAUAUAAAUUAUAUAUGAUCUAGAGAUUUAUCAUGUGACGAGCAGAUUUUAUGCAAAUAUUUAAAUUAAUCCGUGAAUUAAUCUUUAAUAGCAUUAUGUAAUAGUUAAUAUCUUUUAUGGGUAAUUACCCUUUUAUUGCUGGUUUGGCAGAUUAAGAUUUAUGAUGUUUUCAUAAUGUUUUCCGUCAAAAGAAAUUUAUAUUUAUGAAUUAGUUUUCAGCGGAAGGCUUUAGUAAAAAAUUCGAACCUUAGUAACCGUUUUCUUUUUGCCAAAAAGGUAGAUAUUUUUUUAUGUUAGAAGUUAUAACUUAAUUGGGCAUUGGGCAUCAAAAUAAACAUGUGAAUAUCUUGACUUGGUGUUUGUUGUCUACUUUAAGUGGUACUGAAUUUAUUAAAAUAAACGUUGUUUUCUACA